CCUACGGGAGGCAGCAGUGGGGAAUAUUGGACAAUGGGCGCAAGCCUGAUCCAGCCAUGCCGCGUGAGUGAUGAAGGCCCUAGGGUUGUAAAGCUCUUUCACCGGUGAAGAUAAUGACGGUAACCGGAGAAGAAGCCCCGGCUAACUUCGUGCCAGCAGCCGCGGUAAUACGAAGGGGGCUAGCGUCGUUCGGAUUUACUGGGCGUAAAGCGCACGUAGGCGGACUAUUAAGUCAGGGGUGAAAUCCCGGGGCUCAACCCCGGAGCUGCCUUUGAUACUGGUAGUCUUGAGUUCGAGAGAGGUGAGUGGAAUUCCGAGUGUAGAGGUGAAAUUCGUAGAUAUUCGGAGGAACACCAGGGGCGAAGGCGGCUCACUGGCUCGAUACUGACGCUGAGGUGCGAAAGCGGGGGGAGCAAACAGGAUUAGAUCCCCUGGUAGU
rnacentral:rRNA from 1 species